rnacentral:rRNA from 1 species
UUUAGUAAUUGCGAAUGAACAAGGAUAUGCUUAGCUUGACAAAUGGAGCUAUUGGCUUUGAAUUGUAUUGUGGAAAUGUAUUACCAACAGAGGUGCAGGUGCCAGCCUAUUGAAAUAAAGCGUCAAUGAGGGUGAGAAUCCUGUUUGUCAUGUGCAGCCCUUUGUGCACGGUGUAUAUUUGCUGAGUCACACUCCUUGGCAUUGGAAUGCAAAGUGGGUGGUAAGUUUCAUGUAAAGGUAAACAUGCAAUUGAGACUGAUAGCACACAAGUACCAUGAGGGAAAUAUGAAAAGGACUUUGAAAAGAGAAUUAAAUGAGUUUGUAUUUGCUGAACACAAAGUAAACAGACUUGAUUUGCUUGGUGGGAGUGUUGCACUUGCUUGACAAGAGCUUUGGGCUGUGGGUGUAAUGAUUCUUUCUUUGCAUGCCAGUUUCUAUUUGUACAUCUGAUUACCUUUGCACAUGAAUGAUAAGUCUCCUGUGGGGGGUGGAUUGCAUGUGCAUGUAAUGAUUUGUGUUUUGAUAAAUGUGUCUGGUGUAUGUGUGUGUUCCUGUGCUUGGGGAUGCUUCCUUCCUUGGACUUACAAGCCCUGACACACACAUGCUGGCAAAAUGCUUCUGCUUGACCCGUCUUGAAACACGGACCAAGGAGUCUAACAGAUGUGCAAAGUUUGAAGGUGGUAUACCUUUGUGUGCAAUGAAAGUGUCAGCUGGGAUAUGUGCACCAGCACCCAAUUAAUUAGCGGACAGAGGUUUGAGUUGGAGCAUAUCUAUUAGGACCCGAAAGAUGGUGAACUAUGCCUGAACAGAAUGAAUUCAGAGGAAACUCUGAUGGAGGUUCGUAUCGAUACUGACGUGCAAAUCGUUCGUCAUAUUUGGGUAUAGGGGCGAAAGACUAAUCGAACCAUCUAGUAGCUGGUUCCCUCCGAAGUUUCCCUCAGGAUAGCUGGAGUUGCUCAGUUUUAUCAGGUAAAGCGAAUGAUUAAGGAAUUGGGGACAGGUUUGUCUUUGACCUAUUCUCAAACUUU